rnacentral:rRNA from 1 species
CCUACGGGGGGCAGCAGUGGGGAAUUUUGGACAAUGGGGGCAACCCUGAUCCAGCCAUGCCGCGUGAGUGAAGAAGGCCUUCGGGUUGUAAAGCUCUUUCAGCCGGAACGCGGUACCGGAAGAAGAAGCACCGGCUAACUACGUGCCAGCAGCCGCGGUAAUACGUAGGGUGCGAGCGUUAAUCGGAAUUACUGGGCGUAAAGCGUGCGCAGGCGGUUUUGUAAGUCAGAUGUGAAAUCCCCGGGCUUAACCUGGGAACUGCGUUUGAAACUACAAGGCUAGAGUGUGGCAGAGGGGGGUGGAAUUCCACGUGUAGCAGUGAAAUGCGUAGAGAUGUGGAGGAACACCGAUGGCGAAGGCAGCCCCCUGGGUUAAACUGACGCUCAGGCACGAAAGCGUGGGGAGCAAACAGGAUUAGAUACCCUUGUAGUC